rnacentral:rRNA from 1 species
GAUGAACGCUGGCGGCGUGCCUAAUACAUGCAAGUCGAGCGAACGGACGAGAAGCUUGCUUCUCUGAUGUUAGCGGCGGACGGGUGAGUAACACGUGGAUAACCUACCUAUAAGACUGGGAUAACUUCGGGAAACCGGAGCUAAUACCGGAUGAUAUUUUGAACCGCAUGGUUCAAAAGUGAAAGACGGUCUUGCUGUCACUUAUAGAUGGAUCCGCGCUGCAUUAGCUAGUUGGUAAGGUAACGGCUUACCAAGGCAACGAUGCAUAGCCGACCUGAGAGGGUGGUCGGCCACACUGGAACUGAGACACGGUCCAGACUCCUACGGGAGGCAGCAGUAGGGAAUCUUCCGCAAUGGGCGAAAGCCUGACGGAGCAACGCCGCGUGAGUGAUGAAGGUCUUCGGAUCGUAAAACUCUGCUAUUAGGGAAGAACAUAUGUGUAAGUAACUGUGCACAUCUUGACGGUACCUAAUCAGAAAGCCACGGCUAACUACGUG